CAGUAGCCGCGGGAAUACGGAGGGUGCAAGCGUUAAUCGGAAUUACCGGGCGUAAAGCGCACGCAGGCGGUCUGACAAGUCAGAUGUGAAAUCCCCGGGCUUAACCUGGGAACUGCAUUUGAAACUGUCAGGCUGGAGUCUUGUAGAGGGGGGUAGAAUUCCAGGUGUAGCGGUGAAAUGCGUAGAGAUCUGGAGGAAUACCGGUGGCGAAGGCGGCCCCCUGGACAAAGACUGACGCUCAGGUGCGAAAGCGUGGGGAGCAAACAGGAUUAGAUACCCGGGUAGUCCCUGUCUCUUAUAC
rnacentral:rRNA from 1 species